rnacentral:rRNA from 1 species
GUUGCAGGGUAUAGACCCGAAACCCGGUGAUCUAGCCAUGGGCAGGUUGAAGGUUGGGUAACACUAACUGGAGGACCGAACCGACUAAUGUUGAAAAAUUAGCGGAUGACCUGUGGCUGGGGGUGAAAGGCCAAUCAAACCGGGAGAUAGCUGGUUCUCCCCGAAAGCUAUUUAGGUAGCGCCUCGUGAAUUCAUCUCCGGGGGUAGAGCACUGUUUCGGCUAGGGGGCCAUCCCGGCUUACCAACCCGAUGCAAACUGCGAAUACCGGAGAAUGUUAUCACGGGAGACACACGGCGGGUGCUAACGUCCGUCGUGAAGAGGGAAACAACCCAGACCGCCAGCUAAGGUCCCAAAGUCAUGGUUAAGUGGGAAACGAUGUGGGAAGGCCCAGACAGCCAGGAUGUUGGCUUAGAAGCAGCCAUCAUUUAAAGAAAGCGUAAUAGCUCACUGGUCGAGUCGGCCUGCGCGGAAGAUGUAACGGGGCUAAACCAUGCACCGAAGCUGCGGCAGCGACACUGUGUGUUGUUGGGUAGGGGAGCGUUCUGUAAGCCUGUGAAGGUGUGUCGUGAGGCAUGCUGGAGGUAUCAGAAGUGCGAAUGCUGACAUAAGUAACGAUAAAGCGGGUGAAAAGCCCGCUCGCCGGAAGACCAAGGGUUCCUGUCCAACGUUAAUCGGGGCAGGGUGAGUCGACCCCUAAGGCGAGGCCGAAAGGCGUAGUCGAUGGGAAACGGGUUAAUAUUCCCGUACUUGGUGUUACUGCGAAGGGGGGACGGAGAAGGCUAUGUUGGCCGGG